rnacentral:rRNA from 1 species
AUACGUAGGGGGCGAGCGUUGUCCGGAAUGAUUGGGCGUAAAGGGCGCGUAGGCGGCCCGGUAAGUCUGGAGUGAAAGUCCUGUUUUUAAGAUGGGAAUUGCUUUGGAUACUGUCGGGCUUGAGUGCAGGAGAGGUAAGUGGAAUUCCCAGUGUAGCGGUGAGAUGCGUAGAGAUUGGGAGGAACACCAGUGGCGAAGGCGACUUACUGGACUGUAACUGACGCUGAGGCGCGAAAGUGUGGGGAGCAAACAGGAUUAGAUACCCUGGUAGUCCACACUGUAAACGAUGAAUGCUAGGUGUAGGGGGUAUCGACCCCUUCUGUGCCGCAGUCAACACAAUAAGCAUUCCGCCUGGGGAGUACGGCCGCAAGGUUGAAACUCAAAUGAAUUGGCGGGG